CGAGGAGGCCUUGGCG
rnacentral:miRNA from 1 species